rnacentral:rRNA from 1 species
CCUACGGGAGGCAGCAGUGGGGAAUAUUGGGCAAUGGGCGAAAGCCUGACCCAGCAACGCCGCGUGAAGGAAGAAGGCUUUCGGGUUGUAACCUUCUUUGAUAGGGGAGGGCAGUAGACGGUACCUGUCGGAAAAGCCCCGGCUAAACACGGGCCACCAGCCGCGGUAAUACGUAGGUGGGAAGCGUUGUCCGGAUUUCAUGGGGGGAAAGGGGGUGGAGCCGGGCUGAAAAGUCAGAUGUGAAAUUCGGGGGCUCAACCCCCGAACUGCAUUUGAAACCGUUGGUCUUGAGUGUUGGAGAGGCAGGCGGAAUUCCUAGUGUAGCGGUGAAAUGCGUAGAUAUUAGGAGGAACACCAGUGGCGAAGGCGGCCUGCUGGACGACAACUGACGGUGAGGCGCGAAAGCGUGGGGAGCAAACAGGAUUAGAUACCCGGGUAGUC